UCCGGUUCAUCACCGGCAGUCCCCUUAGAGUCCCCAACUAAAUGCUGGCAACUAAGGGCAAGGGUUGCGCUCGUUACGGGACUUAACCCAACAUCUCACAACACGAGCUGACGACAGCCAUGCAGCACCUGUCUCUGCGCUCCUUGCGGCACCCCGACCUCUCAGUCAGGUUCGCAGGAUGUCAAGGGUAGGUAAGGUUCUUCGCGUUGCGUCGAAUUAAACCACAUGCUCCACCGCUUGUGCGGGCCCCCGUCAAUUCCUUUGAGUUUCAACCUUGCGGCCGUACUCCCCAGGCGGAGAACUUAUCGCGUUAGCUUCGAUACCGAUAGGUCGCCCUACCGACAUCUAGUUCUCAUCGUUUACAGCGUGGACUAC
rnacentral:misc_RNA from 1 species